rnacentral:ncRNA from 1 species
AUACAGGUGUUUUUUUAACUUAAUAAGGAAAUCGGUUAAAAUCCGAUACAGCCACCACUACUGUGAAAUGGACGAAAGUGUAUAGCCACUGAAAACGAAAAAUUUAUUUUAAAAACUUUUUUAAUUUGUUGAAAAAAUAUGAAAAGUUUUUAAAAAUAAAAAAUUUUUUUGGGAAGGAUACGAGUAGGAAGAAGUUAGUCAGGAGACUUGCCUGUAAUCUUU